AUACGUAGGUGGCAAGCGUUAUCCGGAUUUAUUGGGCGUAAAGCGAGCGCAGGCGGUUUUUUAAGCUGAUGUGAAAGCCCUCGGCUUAACCGGAGAAGUGCAUCGGAAACUGGGAGACUUGAGUGCAGAAGAGGACAGUGGAACUCCAUGUGUAGCGGUGGAAAUGCGUAGAUAUAUGGAAGAACACCAGUGGCGAAGGCGGCUGUCUGGUCUGUAACUGACGCUGAGGCUCGAAAGUAUGGGUAGC
rnacentral:rRNA from 1 species